UCUUUUUCCCCACCAUUACACUCAAGUCUUCACCAAUGAAUUAUUAGUAUCAACCCCAGCCAACAAACUCCCUACUUCAUUCACUGUCCGUCAAGUUUCAAGGGGAGUAAAGUACUCUUCUUCUUGCCAAACUUCAAGGAGGUAAGCCUUCUUUGAAUUCUCUUUAAUGCACUCAGGAUUCCACCUACAUUUAUGAACAGCAACUUGGUUAUUUCAGUUCAUUUUGCUGCAUAUAAUCCAACAACGAAACAGCCAUUCAACAAGACAUUCAAGGUAUUUACACUAUUCC
rnacentral:lncRNA from 1 species